AAAUGUGGUUAUUUGGGGGCAUCUGGAGGGGUAUUUAUGGGGUAUAGGGGGAAGUGUGGUUAUUUGGGGGCAUCUGGAGGGGUAUUUAUGGGGUAUAGGGGGAAGUGUGGUUAUUUGGGGGCAACUGGAGGGGUAUUUAUGGGGUAUAGGGGGAAAUGUGGUUAUUUGGGGGCAACUGGAGGGGUAUUUAUGGGGUAUAGGGGGAAAUGUGGUUAUUUGGGGUCAUCUGGAGGGGUAUUUAUGGGAUAUAGGGGGAAAUACGGUUAUUUGGAGGGGUAUUUAUGGGGUAUUUAUGGGGUAUAGGGGGAAAUGUGGUUAUUUGGGGGCAUCUGGAGGGGUAUUUAUGGGGUAUAGGGGGAAGUGUGGUUAUUUGGGGGCAUCUGGAGGGGUAUUUAUGGGGUAUAGGGGGAAAUACGUUUAUCUGGGGGGGUUAUAUAGGGGUCUGGGGGGUAUUGGGUGGGGAUGCCUGGAGGGAUCUAUGGGGGGGGGGUGGGAAUAGAUCCUAUAGGGUAUGCUAUAGGGCCCGGCCCCUCUCGAGGCAGCGCUGCCCCAUGCGUUCCUCCCCCCCGGGGUCGGGCCCCAGAGUGAGGAGGGGGCAAACCUACGGCCGGCGGCUCUUAUUCCCCCCCCACCCCCCCCAAAAUUGGAGCCGUCGGUAUACAGCAGCCCCCACAAACCCUAUAGGGGAAGGAGCAGCUCCUGUGGAUCCUAUAGACCCCCCCCCCCCCCCCCAUUAUAAGGGUUGGGGUGAAGGAGAAGGAAUGGCUGUGGUGGAGGCGUUGGGGACAACGGGACGGUGGCGGAGUGGUGAGACGUGGGUAGGAUGGGGGCGUCAAUGGGGGGACAGUGGUGGCAGUGGAAGGGAUGGGGGACAAAAUGGAGUCAAUGGAGAUGAAUGGAGGAGAGAACGGUGGCAUGGAAAUGAAUGGGGGACAAAGUGGUGACAUUGGAAUGAAUGGGGGGCAAAAUGGCAUUGGAAUGGAUGAAUGGGGGACAAAAUGGAGUCAAUGGAGAUGAAUGGGGGGCAAAAUGGUGGCAUUGAAACGAAUGGGGGACAAAAUGGAGUCAAUGGAAAUGAAUGGGGGACAAAAUGGUGGCGUUGGAAUGAAUGGGGGACAAAAUGGAGUCAAUGGAGAUGAAUGGGGGGCAAAAUGGUGGCAGUGGAGAUGAAUGGGGGACAAAAUGGAGUCAAUGGAGAUGAAUGGGGGGCAAAAUGGUGGCAUUGAAAUGAAUGGGGGACAAAAUGGUGGCAGUGGAAAUGAAUGGGGGACGAAAUGGAAUCAGUGGAGAUGAAUGGGGGGCAAAACAGAGUCAAUGGAGAUGAAUGGAGGAGAAAAUGGCAUCAAUGGAAGUGAAUGGGGGACAAAAUGGCGGCAUUGGAAUGAAUGGGGGACGAAAUGGAGUCAAUGGAAAUGAAUGGGGGGCAAAGUGAUGACAUUGGAAUGAAUGGGGGACAAAAUGGAGUCAAUGGAAAUGAAUGGGGGACAAAAUGGCGGCGUUGGAAUGAAUGGGGGACAAAAUGGAGUCAAUGGAGAUGAAUGGGGACAAAGUGGUGGCGUUGGAAUGAAUGGAUGGGGGACAAAAUGGAGGUAUUGGAAUGGAUGGGUGAUAAAAGUGGUGGCAUUGGAAUGAAUGGUGGACAAAAUGGAGUCAAUGGAGAUGAAUGGGGGGCAAAAUGGUGGCAGUGGAGAUGAAUGGGGGAAGAAAUGGAGUCAGUAGAGAUGAAUGGGGAUUAAACGGUGGCAUUGAAAUGAAUGGGGGGCAAAAUGGAGUCAAUGGAAAUGAAUGGGGGACAAAAUGGCGGCAUUGGAAUGAAUGGGGGGCAAAAUGGAGUCCAUGGAAAUGAAUGGGGGGCAAAGUGAUGACAUUGGAAUGAAUGGGGGACAAAAUGGCAGCAUGAAUGGGUUACAAAGUGGUAACAUUGGAGUGAAUGGGGGACAAAAUGGUGUCAAUGGAGAUGAAUGGGGGGCAAAAUGGUGGCAGUGGAGAUGAAUGGAGGACAAAAUGGAAUCAGUGGAGAUGAAUGGAGGAGAAAAUGGCGUCAAUGGAAAUGAAUGAGGGGCAAAAUGGUGGCAUUGGAAUGAAUGGGGGACAAAAUGGCAUUGGAAUGAAUGAAUGGGGGAUGAAAUGGAGUCAAUGGAGAUGAAUGGGGGACAAAAUGGUGGCAUUGAAAUGAACGGGGGGCAAAACAGAGUCAAUGGAGAUGAAUGGAGGAGAAAAUGGCGUCAAUGGAAAUGAAUGGGGGACAAAAUGGCAUUGGAAUGAAUGAAUGGGGGACAAAAUGGAGUCAGUGGAAAUGAAUGGGGGACAAAAUGGCAGCAUUGGAAUGAAUGGGGGACAAAAUGGCAUUGGAAUGAAUGAAUGGGGGACAAAAUGGAGUCAAUGGAGAUGAAUGGGGGACAAAAUGGUGGCAUUGAAAUGAACGGGGGGCAAAACAGAGUCAAUGGAGAUGAAUGGAGGAGAAAAUGGCGUCAAUGGAAAUGAAUGGGGGACAAAAUGGCAUUGGAAUGAAUGAAUGGGGGACAAAAUGGAGUCAGUGGAAAUGAAUGGGGGACAAAAUGGCGGCAUUGGAAUGAAUGGGGGACAAAAUGGCAUUGGAAUGAAUGAAUGGGGGGCGAAAUGGAGCCAAUGGAGAUGAAUGGGGGACAAAAUGGCGGCCCCAAAAUGGCGGCCCCGCAGUGGUGGCCCAAUGGUGGCGCUGCAGUGGGGUGGGGGUGGCAAUAAAGACUUUUCACCCCCCCAAAAA